UGUGAACUCGAAGAGUAGGGCGGGACACGUGGUAUCCUGUCUGAAUAUGGGGGGACCAUCCUCCAAGGCUAAAUACUCCUGACUGACCGAUAGUGAACCAGUACCGUGAGGGAAAGGCGAAAAGAACCCCGGCGAGGGGAGUGAAAAAGAACCUGAAACCGUGUACGUACAAGCAGUAGGAGCCCACUGGUUGGGUGACUGCGUACCUUUUGUAUAAUGGGUCAGCGACUUAUAUUCUGUAGCAAGGUUAACCGUAUAGGGGAGCCGCAGGGAAACCGAGUCUUAACUGGGCGUUAAGUUGCAGGGUAUAGACCCGAAACCCGGUGAUCUAGCCAUGGGCAGGUUGAAGGUUGGGUAACACUAACUGGAGGACCGAACCGACUAAUGUUGAAAAAUUAGCGGAUGACUUGUGGCUGGGGGUGAAAGGCCAAUCAAACCGGGAGAUAGCUGGUUCUCCCCGAAAGCUAUUUAGGUAGCGCCUCGUGAAUUCAUCUUCGGGGGUAGAGCACUGUUUCGGCUAGGGGGUCAUCCCGACUUACCAACCCGAUGCAAACUACGAAUACCGAAGAAUGUUAUCACGGGAGACACACGGCGGGUGCUAACGUCCGUCGUGAAGAGGGAAACAACCCAGACCGCCAGCUAAGGUCCCAAAGUCAUGGUUAAGUGGGAAACGAUGUGGGAAGGCCCAGACAGCCAGGAUGUUGGCUUAGAAGCAGCCAUCAUUUAAAGAAAGCGUAAUAGCUCACUGGUCGAGUCGGCCUGCGCGGAAGAUGUAACGGGGCUAAACCAUGCACCGAAGCUGCGGCAGCGACACUAUGUGUUGUUGGGUAGGGGAGCGUUCUGUAAGCCGUUGAAGGUGGCCUGUGAGGGUUGCUGGAGGUAUCAGAAGUGCGAAUGCUGACAUAAGUAACGAUAAUGCGGGUGAAAAACCCGCACGCCGGAAGACCAAGGGUUCCUGUCCAACGUUAAUCGGGGCAGGGUGAGUCGACCCCUAAGGCGAGGCCGAAAGGCGUAGUCGAUGGGAAACAGGUUAAUAUUCCUGUACUCGGUGUUACUGCGAAGGGGGGACGGAGAAGGCUAUGUUGGCCGGGCGACGGUUGUCCCGGUUUAAGCAUGUAGGCGGAUGUUCCAGGUAAAUCCGGAACGUCACUAACGCUGAGGUGUGAUGACGAGGCACUACGGUGCUGAAGUGACAAAUGCCCUGCUUCCAGGAAAAGCCUCUAAGCAUCAGGUAACAUCAAAUCGUACCCCAAACCGACACAGGUGGUCAGGUAGAGAAUACCAAGGCGCUUGAGAGAACUCGGGUGAAGGAACUAGGCAAAAUGGUGCCGUAACUUCGGGAGAAGGCACGCUGAUGGUAACACAGCACUGUGCAAACACGAAAGUGGACGUAUACGGUGUGACGCCUGCCCGGUGCCGGAAGGUUAAUUGAUGGGGUUAUCCUCGCGGAGAAGCUCUUGAUCGAAGCCCCGGUAAACGGCGGCCGUAACUAUAACGGUCCUAAGGUAGCGAAAUUCCUUGUCGGGUAAGUUCCGACCUGCACGAAUGGCGUAAUGAUGGCCAGGCUGUCUCCACCCGAGACUCAGUGAAAUUGAACUCGCUGUGAAGAUGCAGUGUACCCGCGGCAAGACGGAAAGACCCCGUGAACCUUUACUAUAGCUUGACACUGAACACUGGUCCUUGAUGUGUAGGAUAGGUGGGAGGCUUUGAAGUGUGGACGCCAGUCUGCAUGGAGCCAUCCUUGAAAUACCACCCUUUAAUGGCUGGUGUUCUAACGUGGGCCCGUAAUCCGGGUUGCGGACAGUGUCUGGUGGGUAGUUUGACUGGGGCGGUCUCCUCCUAAAGAGUAACGGAGGAGCACGAAGGUCAGCUAAUCCUGGUCGGACAUCAGGAGGUUAGUGCAAUGGCAUAAGCUGGCUUGACUGCGAGCGUGACGGCGCGAGCAGGUGCGAAAGCAGGUCAUAGUGAUCCGGUGGUUCUGAAUGGAAGGGCCAUCGCUCAACGGAUAAAAGGUACUCCGGGGAUAACAGGCUGAUACCGCCCAAGAGUUCAUAUCGACGGCGGUGUUUGGCACCUCGAUGUCGGCUCAUCACAUCCUGGGGCUGAAGUAGGUCCCAAGGGUAUGGCUGUUCGCCAUUUAAAGUGGUACGCGAGCUGGGUUUAGAACGUCGUGAGACAGUUCGGUCCCUAUCUGCCGUGGGCGCUGGAGAAUUGAGGGGGGCUGCUCCUAGUACGAGAGGACCGGAGUGGACGCAUCACUGGUGUUCGGGUUGUCAUGCCAAUGGCAUUGCCCGGUAGCUAAAUGCGGAAGAGAUAAGUGCUGAAAGCAUCUAAGCACGAAACUUGCCCCGAGAUGAGUUCUCCCUGACCCUUUAAGGGUCCUGAAGGAACGUUGAAGACGACGACGUUGAUAGGCCGGGUGUGUAAGCGCAGCGAUGCGUUGAGCUAACCGGUACUAAUGAACCGUGAGGCUUAACCUU
rnacentral:rRNA from 1 species